GGCCUUCGGGUUGUAAAGCCCUUUCGGCGGGGAAGAAAUCGGUCAGGCGAAUAGUCUGGCCGGAUGACGGUACCCGCAGAAGAAGCACCGGCUAACUACGUGCCAGCAGCCGCGGUAAUACGUAGGGUGCGAGCGUUAAUCGGAAUUACUGGGCGUAAAGGGUGCGCAGNCGGCCCUGUAAGACCGGUGUGAAAUCCCCGGGCUCAACCUGGGAAUUGCGCUGGUGACUGCAGGCUUAGAGUACGGUAGAGGGGGGUGGAAUUCCUGGUGUAGCAGUGAAAUGCGUAGAGAUCAGGAGGAACACCGAUGGCGAAGGCAGCCCCNUGGNCNUGUACUGACGCUCAUGCACGAAAGCGUGGGGNGCAAACAGGAUUAGAUACCCUGGUAGUCC
rnacentral:rRNA from 1 species